rnacentral:rRNA from 1 species
UACCAGCACCCCGAGUGGUCGGGACGAUUAUUGGGCCUAAAGCACCCGUAGCCGGUUCUACAAGUCUUCCGUUAAAUCCACCUGCUUAACAGAUGGGCUGCGGAGGAUACUAUAGAGCUAGGAGGCGGGAGAGGCAAGCGGUACUCGAUGGGUAGGGGUAAAAUCCGUUGAUCCAUUGAAGACCACCAGUGGCGAAGGCGGCUUGCCAGAACGCGCUCGACGGUGAGGGAUGAAAGCUGGGGGAGCAAACCGG